GGUUCGGUAGUAUAGUGGUAUUAACACCUGUGCGUUAUAUUCCUUGCGGGAGACGCUGGUUCGAAUCCAGCCCGAAUCU
rnacentral:tRNA from 1 species